UUCCUCCUUCCCUCUAUUUUGAAUGGUGGUUAGUUCUUCUUCUUCAUGCUUAGAUAAUUAAGUAGCUUUGGGAGUGAUUACUUGGUUCACAACUGAAGUUAUACAUAAAGGAGUUCCUUUGUUUUUCUUCUCGUGCUAUGUCUUUUAGGCCAGUAUUAUUGAGGCAAAUGGCAAGGGUGUUAAAAAAACUAGUGCAGCAACCAACAGCCAUGAUCACAACUUUGCUGUACUACAGUGAUUUACUGCCACAAAACGCUGCGUUGGAGAGGAUGGUACAGCAUGAGAUGCUACUUCAUCAAGAGAAUUACUUUUUCAUGAUCAUCACCAACUUCUUGAAAUGCUUCUUGUAGAUAAGUUUAAAUUAAUGGGAAAUUUCCAUAUUUUGAUGAUGAGGGAAUUUUUUUUGUCUCCUUAUUAAAAUUUCAUCAUUGUAUUUUGAUUUUGAUGGAAUGAGGAAAUAUGGUCUUUCAUGUUUUUUA